GAGAGAGAGAGUGCAGCGCCUCCUCCGUCAAUCCGCCGAUCCGUCGUCUCCGGCACCGGCCGCCAUGUCCGGGGGCUCGGGGUGAGUCCCCGCGUCCCAUUCCCGGCGUUAGGACCCCGAGGAGCGACCCCCCCCCGUCGAGCUCGUCCUCGUCAACGGGGCGAACCGGGCGAACUUCUUCCCUGCUUCGGUCUACGUCGGAGGAGCUUCUUCGGCGUCUUCUUCCCCGGUCCGGCGCUCCUCCUCCCCGUUCGGCGCCCCAUCUUCUCCCAAGGUGAGGCCACGCGUCCCCCUUCCUUCCUCCUCCGCGGAGCGGCUCGGACCUCCGUCGUGUGCGUGCGUUCUCUGUUCGUGGCAGCAGCAAGUUAGAUGAUGCGGUCGUAGCGGCUGUUCUGCAAGUAACGCGUUCUUGGGGGUGCCGCGCAGAGGAGGGCUUCCUCCCCCCUCGCAGCAGCAGCGCCGUGGUUAUGGGAACCACCUCGUCGCCGAUUAUGUGGCCUCCUGUUGCCUCGGUCGCGGUAGACGCAGAGCGACAGCGUAGUGUUGGUGCGGUUCCUCCGUCAGUCUAGGGCGCCAUGCGGGCGUGCUCUAGCAACAGCGGCGGUUCCUUCCCGAGUAGGUGGCUGUUCGUCGUGUGCAAGAGCUCGUCGCCGGCAGCGCAACUAGCAACGUCGGCUAGGAUAGCCGUCAGGUUCCCUGUCUCCGUCGUUCCCAGUAGACAGGCAGAGGGCGAUUUCAGGUAUUUAUUCCUGUAUGAGAAUCCCCCUCUGUCAGAUACCCCUCCGUAGCCCGAUGGUAGUGUUGUGCUGGCAUAAACUUGCGCCUGUAGGAGUGCGUGGGUUCGAGUCCCCCCUUGGCGCCUUUUUGUUUGUUUUCCUCGAUUAUUUCGGGUCAGUGAGAGUGCAGGCAGCUUACCUUGCAUAUCUCUCUUCUCCUGUCAACAAGUAGCGUCGUAGCGCCGUGUCGUGGGUGUGUGGUGCUGGACACCAGGGGUCUGGGUUCGAAUCCCAGCAGCCCUGUUUUUUUUUUAAUUUUUUUUUGCAAUCUUUUCUUUUUCCUGCCUACUUAUUUCCUGUUUUCCUAACUCCUACACUUGUGUCUUAUCAGUUUUGUCCCCUGUUGUUUUUUAUUUUAAAAACUCCUACGCAGUGGUGAUUGCUCCUGUUCCUGCUAGAAUGGUGGAAUAGAUAUAGUUGUGAGUAUGUUUUGCACACUAGGGGUGAUAAAUAUUAUUGCUAGCUUGUGAUGUUUAUAGUGGUUGUACCUUAGUGAAGAGGAGCCAACCUUGUUAAGGGCAUGGUGCUAGAUGCCUUGACAAAUAUGGGUGUAGUGUUUGGAGGUGAUCAGUUGCCCUAGCUAAUCUUGCAAAGCCCUAGCUUGUGAACUUUGGUGUGGGCUAAGUUGAACUUGUAGCUUUAUUGUUUUGCAUGGAGUUACUUUGAUGUGGGUGCCUCCCCCUCAUCACAUGUUUUGGUGUGAUGUGAAGAUCUAGGUGACUAUCCACGCUAGUGUGUGAAGGUGUGGAUGUUGUGGUGGUUGCAUAUAGAGGAUGACAUGAUUACUAGGAAGAUCCUAGUGAUGCUUGUGAGAGUGUGCACCAUCACAUGCCCAUAUGUGGGGGUGUGCUUACCCUCUUGUUAGUUUAAAGAUUUCUUUUGUGUGAGCUUGAUGCUAGUGCUUGAGAGGAAUUGUGUGGGUUGGUGUUGUCGAUGUGCAUGACACAAACAUGGGGUUCAAACCCCCAUGUCACUUUGUCAUUGUGCACAUGAAACCCUCCUAUGUAUUGUCAUCUUAGAAGAAUACCUUAUGGAUUUGCAUUUUUCAUUUUGUUGAAAGUUUGGGCUUUGUUUCCAUGAUAUAGAUGGAGCCCAAAGGCAUGGAUCUUGGUGUGUUAGUUGUAGGGGUUUGUGCUCAAUACCAUAGUGGUGUCAAACACCUCUUGGGAACUUGUGUGUGCAAACUAUGCCUAGACAAAGUGGGCAUGUGGUUGGGAAAUUCCAGAUUUUUGAACUCUGAAAAUUUCACUAAGUCUGGGAUGCUGAAAACAUUUUCUUCCCCUGUAGACAAGGUUGUUCUGGUCAUUAUGUUGAGAACUGGACUUAGUUCAGUGCUAGUGUUUUGAACCUGAGAUGUUUGUGAAGCUUCCUGUCAAUUUUCAAGUCAUUUGGAUUCCAGUAGCUUGUGUUUUGGUUGCUGUUAAAAGGCUUCAGAACAGAAACAGAAACUCAGGUGCAGGAAUUUUCACUAAGUCCCUGAGGACUGAUGGUUUUGGGAAAGUUUUUGGCCUUGUAUCUUCUAGAGUUUAAUUAAUUUUGCUGUGAUUAUUGCUGGAGAUUGUAGUGUUCUUGGUUGGCAACAGCCACAUAUAUUAUUUGUCAUAUUUGAAGACCUGUAGCUAUGUUGCAUGUGGCUCACAAACAGCUAAGAUGCAGAAACUGGCAGAUUGCGUAGUUUUGCCAUUUUGUUCAAAGUUUGUGUUCAGUUGUUGUUGGGGUGUUCUACCUUGCUCCAUUUCAUUCAUGUUGGGUUAAUAUAUGUCUUGGCAACCUGGGAACACCAGAUUUGUGCCAAUUGUGUGUGUGGUGAUGAAUCUUUCACGUAGAGCUUCAUAUCGUGUUUCGUUGAUUCCCGUUGAUCCGUAGCUCCGUUUGCAAAGUUCUUUAUAUGGUUUUGCACCAGUUUUACAAGGUGCAUAUGUUCAUAUAAUUCCCAUGCAUGUCCAAAUAGUUUAGUGCAAAGUUCUGUCCAGGAACUUGUUGUAGUUUAUCUUGCUGGUGCUAGUGUUAGAAAUAGUGGUGCAUGCUCAACUUUCAUCUCAUGCAUCAUGUGAUUGUUGCAUUUUGUGGUGCUGCUGUUCAUUGGCUGUUAUUUUUGUGUUGGGUAGCACCGGGAGCGGAGACCGAUUACGUGGAGUCAGGAGAGUACGUGCAGGACGAUCCAGAACCAUUCCAAGCUGAGGAUAUCACAGGCAAGAUGACAUGACCUUGAUCCCAUAUCUAGACUUGUUAUGUUAGUUUCGAUUCCAC
rnacentral:lncRNA from 1 species